AACGAACGCUGGCGGCAUGCCUAACACAUGCAAGUCGAACGAGACCUUCGGGUCUAUUGUCGCCCGGGUUCGUAACGCGUGGGGACCUUCCCUUAUGUUCGGAAUAACUCCCCGACUGGGGUGCUAAUACCGGAUCAUGUCUUCUGACCAAAAAUUUAUCGCCUUUGGAUGGGCCCUCGUUGGAUUAGCUAGUUGUUAGGGUAAAAGCCUACUAAGGCGACGAUCCAUAGCUGGGAUGAGAGGAUGAUCAGCGACACUGGGACUGAGACACGGCCCAGACUCCUACGCGAGGGAGGAGUGGGGAAUAUUGGAAAAUGGGGGAAAGGAUGAUCCAGCAAGGACGGGAGAGUGAUGAAAGUAGUAGAGUUGUAAAGCGCUUUUAACCGGGAUGAUAAUGACGGUACCGGGAGAAUAAGCUACGGCUAACUCCGUG
rnacentral:rRNA from 1 species